UACAGAGGUCCCGAGCGUUGUUCGGAUUCACUGGGCGUAAAGGGUGCGUAGGUGGUGAGGUAAGUCGGAUGUGAAAUCUCCGAGCUCAACUCGGAAAUGGCAUUGGAAACUACCUUGCUAGAGAGUUGGAGGGGGGACUGGAAUACUUGGUGUAGCAGUGAAAUGCGUAGAUAUCAAGUGGAACACCAGUGGCGAAGGCGAGUCCCUGGACAACUUCUGACGCUGAGGCACGAAAGCUAGGGGAGCAAACAGG
rnacentral:rRNA from 1 species